rnacentral:rRNA from 1 species
CCCUUAGAUGUUCUGAACCGCACGCGUGUUACACUGAUGCAUUCAACGAGCUUUACCUUGGCCGAGAGGCCUGGGAAAUCUUUUUAGCAUGCAUCGUGAUAGGGAUUGAUUAUUGCAAUUAUUAAUCAUGAACGAGGAGUUCCUAGUAAACGCAUUUCAUCAAAAUGCAUUGAUUACGUCCCUGCCCUUUGUACACACCGCCCGUCGCACCUACCGAUUGAGUGGUCCGGUGAAGUCUCGAGAUUGUGGCAAUCUCCUUUAUUGGAGUUUGACUGCGAGAACUUGCCUAAACCUUAUCACUUAGAGGAAGGUGAAGUCGUAACA